ACCGUUUUCCACCCCAUCUAUAAUACCUUUUCAAAAAUCUCACUCUGUUUCUUUUUACCCCCUGAACCUCUUCAGCAAUCGUUCCCUUUGUUAGCCAAAAUGAGAGAGUUCACAUUCGUCAAGCUGGUAACACCUGUUGGGAACUCUGCUCUCUUCAACAUGGCAUUCAGUUAGAACCCAUUAUUCCACCCUGAACAACUUAUUAGGGGCAAAGAAGAUGCUGCAAUCAACUUUGCCAGAGGCCACUACACAAUUGGGAAGGAACAGUGGAUCUUUGACUUGAUAGGAUAAGGAAGCUAGCAGAUAACUGUACUGGACUUUAAGGGUUUUUGGUGUUUCGUGCUUGGAUCACUGCUUCUUGAAACGCUUUCGGUGGAUUAUGGUAAGAAAUCAAAUUUGGGUCUCACUGCUUACGCUUCCCCAGAGUUUCCACAUCUGUUGUAGAGCCCUACAAUAGUGUUUUGUCAACCCAUUCUCUGUUAGAGCACACUGAUGAUGCGGUUCUCCUUGAUAAUGAAGCUAUUUGCCGAACGUCUCUCGAUAUUGAGAGGCCUGCUUACACUAAUCUCAACAGGUUGGUCUAUCAGUUGGGAAGGAAACAGUGGAUCUUUGACUUGAUAGGAUAAGGAAGCUAGCAGAUAACUGUACUGGACUUCAAGGGUUUUUGGUGUUUCGUGCUUGGAUCACUGCUUCUUGAAACGCUUUCGGUGGAUUAUGGUAAGAAAUCAAAGUUGGGUCACACUGCUUACGCUUCCCCAGAGUUUCCACAUCUGUUGUAGAGCCCUACAAUAGUGUUUUGUCAACCCAUUCUCUGUUAGAGCACACUGAUGAUGCGGUUCUCCUUGAUAAUGAAGCUAUUUGCCGAAGGUCUCUCGAUAUUGAGAGGCCUGCUUACACUAAUCUCAACAGGUUGGUCUAUCAGGUACAGUGAAUGAUAGUUUUUUUUUUUUUUUAAUUUGAUUGUUUGCAUCGUAUGUAUUUACUUAUAAUGUUCGGUAACUAUAUUUUCCACGAAAUUUGGCUAACCUUUUUCUUCGUUUAUGAUAAAAAAAAGUUAUAAUUUUAGGUUUAUUAUUAAUGUUUCAAUUAUAUGACAAUUAGUUUGUACUUUGUAACCUAUGCAAUGCAUGUGAUACGAAUAUUUUUAAUUUAAUUUUGAUAUAUAACUGAUAAUUUUGUUUUUUAUUAUUAUCAUGACCCAUGCCUCGUGUCUUUAAAUUUGAUGAAAUAUAGGAUACUGUAUGAUAAUCAAAGUUCUUGAAGGAAAUUGUAUGAACAAUUGAAGUGGAAAAGUUGGAUGUGAAUUGGGUACUUUAGGAUAGCCUCAUUUUAUCUAGUGUUCAUGACAGAAAGUACAGAAGACUUUGUAGCUAAUCUGUUGACUUCUAUUAUAUUUGUAAAGUUUGUUAGCAAAAUAAGGAGAAAUACUUGAGUCACGCAGGCUUGCUGCAAUUGCUAGAAUAACCAAA